GAUGAACGCUGGCGGCGUGCCUAAUACAUGCAAGUCGAGCGAACAGACGAUGAGCUUGCUCCUCUGACGUUAGCGGCGGACGGGUGAGUAACACGUGGAUAACCUACCUAUAAGACUGGGAUAACUUCGUGAAACCGGAGCUAAUACCGGAUAAUAUAUUGAACCGCAUGGUUCAAUAGUGAAAGACGGUUUUGCUGUCACUUAUAGCUGGAUCCGCGCCGCAUUAGCUAGUUGGUAAGGUAACGGCUUACCAAGGCAACGAUGCGUAGCCGACCUGAGAGGGUGAUCGGCCACACUGGAACUGAGACACGGUCCAGACUCCUACGGGAGGCAGCAGUAGGGAAUCUUCCGCAAUGGGCGAAAGCCUGACGGAGCAACGCCGCGUGAGUGAUGAAGGUCUUCGGAUCGUAAAACUCUGUUAUUAGGGAAGAACAAAUGUGUAAGUAACUAUGCACGUCUUGACGGUACCUAAUCAGAAAGCCACGGCUAACUACGUG
rnacentral:rRNA from 1 species